CCGGCGCGGGGGGGAGGGGAGGGGAAGGGCAGGCAGGCAGGCGGCCCUGGCGCUGCCCGCGCCGGCUUCGCUUCUCGCCGGGCCGUGCUCGCUCGGCUCUGAGGGCGGCGGAUGCUGCGGAAGCCGCCGGGGCUGGCGGCCGGGCCGCGGCGCGGCGGGCGCGGGAGCCCGGCGCUGCGUGGGGAAGAGGUGCUGUUGGCCCCGCUCGCCCUGCUGCGCAGCCUGGGCGGACGGACCGUUUCUGCAGGAUUCUGGCGAACCUGUACUGAGUGACAAGGCGGUCUCGCUCCUUGUGUAGCUAACUAGGUCACUGUCAGCACUUAAUUACUGUUUGUUUCAUUUUAGUGCAUGCCUUAUGAAUAAGCCGGCUAUUAGGCUGAUGCUUCAAGUUACACUAUCCAGCACCAAGGAAAUAACAGAUGGAAAAAUGGAUUACAUAAACACUGUUGUAAAUAUGUAGGCAUCCAUCCUUUCCACUGCCUGGGUGCCAGAAGAGGGAGCACUGAGAACAGUGGAGCCCCAGCCUUAAUUCCAGUCCCCACUGCUGCCUCAGAGGAGAGUUACAUAGCAGAGGAUGAAGCAUUCAGGGUUGGAAUAGUCCUCAGUUCAACUGCGGUUACAGCAUCUCAGUCCAGACCGCCUGGAACAGUUUGAUCAACUAACUGGAUGUCCUGGAAAAACUCUCAAAUGAUUAUUUAGUUCGAUAUUCUCUGCUCAAGGGGUUCUGGUGGUUUCACAGCUAACAAAGGCUUGGUGUACUUUCAGCCUAUAUACCACAGAAUGUUGCACUGCUACUGAAGACCUAAAUAUUGAAGUCUAUGGUCCUCAGGGCUGGAGGGAAGCUGAGCCUAAAGAGAAGCUGCCAUGUUUGCUGGAUAAAUUAAAGAUUGGGAUUUGGAAGGUAUUGGCAGUUUUUGGAAACAUUCCAGAAUGUCAUGCUUCCAAACAUUGUAUGAGACCUGCACCAAAUCAUGUAACUUUGCAAGAAAAGAGAGAAGGUUCCCUGCACGUGAAAUCCUGACGAUGCCAUGUUAAAGUGGAAAGUACGGAGAUACCUGAAUGACGUUCAUGGUGCAAAAUCCUGGGAAGGGCAGAACCCAAGCGCUCCAGGAAAUGCAGAGCUGAGAUUUAAAGAUGAGCAUUGGGGCUGCUCUGUAGCCCAGAGCCUCAUGUCGUGCUGGUGCCCGAAUGGUUGUGUCAGCAGAGACUCCUAGUGGACAUGCUGUGCUUGCUGUGAGAAGAAAAGCAAUAAAUCUUGGAGGAAGUCACACCACCUCUCAUCAUGACAUAGGUUUGGCAAAAGUGCCUCACCCACCCUACUCGCAUAGAAAAAAAGAGAAGCACCCUCCCGGCAGAGCCAAUGUGUCAGCACGGUAUGUACACUAGGGCUUGUGAUUUCUCCUGCCUCCCACAUGUGCCUUAAAUGACAUAGAUAUGUAAGAAGACUUUUGCAGUGUAAAUUUGGGAUUAAUUUUGUCCCUUGGGAUCUCUUCAGGUUUACUAAAUAAUAACAUAAAAGUGUAUUCUAAAAAUACAAUUUCAAUAUACUGUGAUAUGCUACAUGAUAUCUUGGUCUAAUUAUAUGUGAUGCAUAUUUACAUGAACCUUAAUGAGACUUACAAAAGUAACAGGCACAUUUUAAAGAAAAUUGGAUUAAAUGGCUUAAUUCUUCACAGUUAAAGACUUUAAAUUUUAAUGAAGUCUUGAGUUUGAGGAUAAUAACUAUAAGACUGGAUGCUUAAAAAAACUAAAAUUUAAAACCAAGUUUGUAUGUCUGUAAUGUGCAUUAUCAUCGAUGUGUUUGUGUAGCAGUAAUUCCUAGAAGUAUGUGCAUUAAAAUGACAAAUUUCAAAAGCCAGCAUAGGCCUUUUCCAAACACCUCAGGGUUUUGUAGUGUGUUUUUAUCUCGCUGUACCUAGGCUGAUGUCCUGCACUGGUGCAAACGCAAAUGCAUGUGUGGAAACUUCUGCACAAUGCCACUAAUGAAAUGUAUUGGUGUGGUUCUCUUUCAGUCAUGGGGGAAUGCAAUUUUAGCUUUGCUUAAUGUGUAGUACAGGCAAAAGGCUCUUUGAUUCUCUAUUUUCUACCUCAAAUACAAUCUUUACAGAAAAAAACAUCAGAGGUAACUUGUAUUCCAGCCUAUCAUUCCUCUUGUCUGUUGUUACAAUGCCUCCUGACCUCAGGAAUUUUCUGGACUUUCUAAAUAUUCUGAUCUGUGGAUUUUAAAGUUUCCUUCGAUUUGAAUUUUUUUCCCUGUGCCUCCUGAAGUUCUAAAGAACUUUGCAUUAAACUUUCAGUUAUGAGCAGUGGAACUGAUGAAGCCCAGAUAAUUCCCGCAGUUAUUUUAAGCUCUUUCUCACAUUGGGCCCUUCUCACAGGUAGGAUUAUCUGCUUGUCUGGGAAAGAAAUCAUUUUGGACCUCUAUGUAUGUUGUUCGACGAGAUGGGUUUCAGGUGCUGAUUGUCCAGCUGUCUGCUGCUCCCGAAAUGAGUGAAAGGCUGAGUUGUAGGUAAUUCUCUUUCCCUGGGAGUGUACAUGUGUGUGUGCACUGUGUGUGGUGUGGGCAGGGGUUCAUCCUCUCGUCUACUUACUGGCCACUAUUCAUACCUGUUGACAACACAAACGGUUUUAAUAGCAGCCAUAUACAUAAAAAAGAGUUGGCCCAUAAGAAGCCUACCUGUACUAGAAAUUUUUUUGGUUGUCAUGAGGUGAUAAGAAUUUGUCUUGGCCUAGGGAAAGGUAUUUGUUAAUUGGAGAAAUGGCCAUAAAACCUUGUGAUGAAUUAAUUUGUUGGAUCUGUAUGUAUUUAGAGGAUAAUAAGAAUGCUUUGAUGGUAAUAAAAGAAACUCCUAAUAAGCCAUUUAUGUGGUUAUUCAGUUUUGCCUGCAACAAUUUUGUUAAGUCAUCAUAAUUCUAAAGGGAUUUAAUAACAGGUUUGCAAUUUUUGUGACCUUUAUGACAUUACUAAUAUAGUGUUAUGUAAAAAUGAAUGAAUUUAUGUUUAACUAAUGGAAUAAGGUAUUCUUGAAGUGCUGUGAAAUACACAAAUAUAUAACCUAAACAGUUUGA